CGCACGCCAACUCCACCAUCGUCCUUUAACGAUAAGAAACCUGACGAGUCAUUGUCUGAGACUGAGUCCCGUGCAUCCAGCGAGAACCUCAAGUCUGCCUCGGAGACUUUGUCAUUGAUAACUCCCCUGAAUCCAUCUGAAGUCAAAAGUACCAAGAGCUUAGAAGAUGUUAA
rnacentral:sRNA from 1 species